GACAGCAUGGGGUAGUGGUCUGAGUGCUGGACUAGAACUCCAGGAGACCAGGGUUCAAAUCCCCACUUGGCCA